CAGGACGGAAGGUUCUUAGGUCGGUAGGUCCUCAGGACGGAAAGACCUCAGGACGGAAGGUUCUUAGGUCGGUAGGUCCUCAGGACGGAAAGACCUCAGGUCGGAAGGUCCGCAAGACGGAAAGACCUCAAGUCGGAAGGUCUUCAGGUCGGGAGGUCCGCAAGACGGAAAGACCUCAAGUCGGAAGGUCUUCAGGUCGGGAGGUCCGCAAGAUGGAAAGACCUCAAGUCGGAAGGUCUUCAGGUCGGGAGGUCCGCAAGACGGAAAGACCUCAAGUCGGAAGGUCUUCAGGUCGGGAGGUCCGCAAGACGGAAAGACGAUGAGUCGGAAGGUUUUCAAGUCGGGAGGUCCUCGAGACGGAAAGUCGUCGAGAUGGGAUAUCCGCAGGUCGGGUAAACUGUAGGUCGGAUAGAAGGAGGAGUCGGACAAACGCGGAGGCCUUUGAUCAAAGACAGGGGGCGGUUGAUAUGGAGGUCGGCCCAAGCGGGGUCGGGCGAAGAAGUAGGUCGGACGAAGGACGAAGUCGGGCCAAAAGAGCGGAAGGUCUGUGGUCGGCUCAAGGAGUGAAAUAUAGGGAAUUUUGGUCUGCUGGGGACACGUGUCAGCAUGAGAAAGGUUGGAAGACGG